UUAGCCUGUGUUGCUUUCUUUUUUGAUUUGUAGAAACUACUACUUAAAGACAAGGAGAAAUAUUGUCUUUGUAUAAAAAGUUCAACAGGCAACACUGCCGUUAGUUUCAUCGAUUGUUUCGAGGAAAUUGAUUUUCUUAUUGCGCAAAUUCAAAGUAUCGGAGUUAUGCAAAAAUCUGCGUUUUACAGCAAGUGCAGCCGUUACCAAUAAGUUUUGCGUGCUAGGAUCUCUGUGUGUCCGUCCACAUUUGGCUGGUGCAGUACACUGGGAAUUACAGCUGCACCGAUUUAUUUGGUGAAGUGCAGCCAUAACAUACUUACAAGUAAGUAUACCACCUCAUAAAAGUGAAAGUGUAAAUAUCAAUAAAGCUUUUAUCUUGUGCAGGUCAGGAUCACUUUGUGUGUCCGUCCACCAAAUGUAAUUCAAUUUAAGAUAAUGAACAUGUAAUUUUUAAAUGAAACAAAUAUAAUAAUUUUUU